rnacentral:rRNA from 1 species
GAUGAACGCUGACAGAAUGCUUAACACAUGCAAGUCAACUUGAAUUUGGGUUUUUAACUUAGGUUUGGGUGGCGGACGGGUGAGUAACGCGUAAAGAACUUGCCUCACAGCUAGGGACAACAUUUGGAAACGAAUGCUAAUACCUAAUAUUAUGAUAAUAGGGCAUCCUAUAAUUAUGAAAGCUAUAAGCGCUGUGAGAGAGCUUUGCGUCCCAUUAGCUAGUUGGAGAGGUAACGGCUCACCAAGGCGAUGAUGGGUAGCCGGCCUGAGAGGGCGAUCGGCCACAAGGGGACUGAGACACGGCCCUUACUCCUACGGGAGGCAGCAGUGGGGAAUAUUGGACAAUGGACCAAGAGUCUGAUCCAGCAAUUCUGUGUGCACGAUGAAGUUUUUCGGAAUGUAAAGUGCUUUCAGUUGGGAAGAAAGAAAUGACGGUACCAACAGAAGAAGUGACGGCUAAAUACGUGCCAGCAGCCGCGGUAAUACGUAUGUCACGAGCGUUAUCCGGAUUUAUUGGGCGUAAAGCGCGUCUAGGUGGUUAUGUAAGUCUGAUGUGAAAAUGCAGGGCUCAACUCUGUAUUGCGUUGGAAACUGUAUAACUAGAGUACUGGAGAGGUAAGCGGAACUACAAGUGUAGAGGUGAAAUUCGUAGAUAUUUGUAGGAAUGCCGAUGGGGAAGCCAGCUUACUGGACAGAUACUGACGCUGAAGCGCGAAAGCGUGGGUAGCAAACAGG